GUGAGUCCGAACUUUGUGUGGUUGAGUGCGUGGGAUUUGUGUCCAGAAAUAGAACCGUUGCUUGUAACAAUGCUGUGUGUGAUAAAAUAUUACGAAACAUGUGAUAAUGUGUAUAAUUACGAAUACUUUUUGUGUGUUAUACUCCGCUGUGUUGUAACAAACAUUGCUUUAACAAGAGAAUCCAUUGUCCAGUGAUUGUGCCUGAACCGAGUUCGUAGAUUUUUCGUGCUGUACCCAAGUCAUGUGAUGUUUGUAGCUGCAUGAGCUGGCAAGCGCGAGGAGACAACAAAGUUGAGAGCUUCAAAUUUACGGUGCGAGAAGCAACGUUUUGAAGAAACAUUUCUUCAAACCGAUAUUCCCCAGUGCUCUUCUAAAGGUGGUGAGUGGUGACCACAUGUGAACAGUCGAAAAUUUCUUCAGGCAGUCUCUAG